rnacentral:rRNA from 1 species
UAUACAUGCAGUCGAGCGGACGGAUGGGAGCUUGCUCCCUGAAGUCAGCGGCGGACGGGUGAGUAACACGUGGGCAACCUGCCUGUAAGACUGGGAUAACUCCGGGAAACCGGGGCUAAUACCGGAUAAUUCUUCCCUUCACAUGAGGGGGAGCUGAAAGAUGGUUUCGGCUAUCACUUACAGAUGGGCCCGCGGCGCAUUAGCUAGUUGGUGAGGUAACGGCUCACCAAGGCGACGAUGCGUAGCCGACCUGAGAGGGUGAUCGGCCACACUGGGACUGAGACACGGCCCAGACUCCUACGGGAGGCAGCAGUAGGGAAUCUUCCGCAAUGGACGAAAGUCUGACGGAGCAACGCCGCGUGAGUGAUGAAGGUUUUCGGAUCGUAAAACUCUGUUGUCAGGGAAGAACAAGUGCCGGAGUAACUGCCGGCACCUUGACGGUACCUGGCCAGAAAGCCACGGCUAACUACGUGCCAGCAGCCGCGGUAAUACGUAGGUGGCAAGCGUUGUCCGGAAUUAUUGGGCGUAAAGCGCGCGCAGGCGGUUCCUUAAGUCUGAUGUGAAAGCCCACGGCUCAACCGUGGAGGGUCAUUGGAAACUGGGGAACUUGAGUGCAGAAGAGGAGAGUGGAAUUCCACGUGUAGCGGUGAAAUGCGUAGAGAUGU